UUAUUACAAGUGAGGCUACCGAACGUUGGAAACAGCGGUUAGGAGCUUACACCCACCCGUGUUUACAUACUAUUGUUGCUUUGGCGGGCCGUGGCCUCCACUGCGGGCUCUGCUCGUGUGUGCCCGCCAGAGAACCAAACUCUGAAUGUUAGUGAUGUCUGAGUACUAUCUAAUAGUUAAAACUUUCAACAACGGAUCUCUUGGUUCUGGCAUCGAUGAAGAACGCAGCGAAAUGCGAUAAGUAAUGUGAAUUGCAGAAUUCAGUGAAUCAUCGAAUCUUUGAACGCACAUUGCGCCCUGUGGUAUUCCGCAGGGCAUGCCUGUUCGAGCGUCAUUUAACCACUCACGCCUAGCGUGGUAUUGGGGCACGCGGUCUCCGCGGCCCUCAAAAUUAGUGGCGGCGCCGGUGGGCUCUAAGCGUAGUACAUACUCCCGCUAUAGAGUUCCCCCGGUGGCUCGCCAGAACCCCCAAUUUUUACAGGUUGACCUCGGAUCAGGUAGGGAUACCCAGUCU
rnacentral:rRNA from 1 species